UUUAAUCGAAUCGAUCCACGAAUACCGCCAAAACUUAUAUCUUAUAGUAAACUAAGAUACACUAUGCCCAUCUCUAUGGUUAAUGCAAAUCGGAGCAAAUAUGGCUAGUGCAAAAGAAUUGAUCAACUUUGGUUUCCUCUUAACCAUUCUUCUUCAAACAACUACUGUUGGAAUAUUAUUGUUUCCUAGCAUACAAGUGAUGGCUUUACGAGAAAUGCCACCAACCAUAGCAUUGGCCAAACGCGAAUUACUUCCACUUACUGGAAUAAUAGACUGCGGAAAUUAUUGUAGAUCCAAUAGUGAUUGCUCUACUGCGUACCUUUGCAAGACAUGCAGGCAGGUUAUACAAUAUCCUAAUACCGUGACAUAUGCAUGUGCAGUUUGAGAACGAUCGUGUCAUGGAUUUCUUAAAAGAAUCCAUCCACAACAAACAUUUAUCUUGUUUGUGUUGAUUAUGCAAUUUACCAUUUCAUUCUGUCAUUUCUAUUUCUUUUCUGUCUAUCGGAAAUAAUCUCCCUAUGUUUAUGAGGUAGGGGUAAGGUCUGCGUACACGCUACCCUCCUCAGCCCCAUUUAUGGGAAUACACUGGGUUCGUUGUUGUUGUUGUUGUUGUAUUUCUAUUUCUUUUCAAUUUCUUAUUUUGUGAUUGGAUCUUAAGAAUAAAUGAUGAAUUUGAAUUUAUGGA